UACGGAGGAUCCGAGCGUUAUCCGGAUUUAUUGGGUUUAAAGGGUGCGUAGGCGGUUUGAUAAGUUAGAGGUGAAGUGUCGGGGCUCAACCCCGAAACUGCCUCUAAUACUGUUGGACUAGAGAAUAGUUGCGGUAGGCGGAAUGUAUGGUGUAGCGGUGAAAUGCUUAGAGAUCAUACAGAACACCGAUUGCGAAGGCAGCUUACCAAACUAUGUCUGACGUUGAGGCACGAAAGCGUGGGUAGCAAACAGG
rnacentral:rRNA from 1 species